AAUAAUUGUAUCUCAACCUCUAAAUUGAACUUUAAUCACAUACAGAAGGCUCUUGCAGGGUCUAGCAAGCUAUUAACAUAGCAGGGGAUAAGAAAAUCUUAAUUAAACAGAACUUGCAAUAAAGAAAGCCUAAAUAGGGCUCUCUUUACAGGAAGUGUUUAUGGAAGGCUGUGCAAGUCACAUGUAGGGAGGUGUGACUAGGGUUCACAAACAAAGGGAUUUAACUCCUAAAUGGCAGAGGAGUGAGUAGUGAGGC